AGCUCGGGGAAACUCGAAUUAAUACCGCAUACACCCUUCGGGGGAAAGGGGGCCUCUCCUUGGAAGCUCUCGCUGUUAGAUGAGCCUGCGUGAGAUUAGCUUGUUGGUAAGGUAAUGGCUUACCAAGGCUACGAUCUCUAGCUGGUCUGAGAGGACGAUCAGCCACACUGGGACUGAGACACGGCCCAGACUCCUACGGGAGGCAGCAGUAGGGAAUAUUGGACAAUGGGGGCAACCCUGAUCCAGGCAUGCCGCGUGUGUGAAGAAGGCCUUAGGGUUGUAAAGCACUUUAAGUGAGGAAGAAAAGAUUUAAAUUAAUACUUUAAGUCCCUGACAUUAUUCACAGAAUAAGGACCGGCUAACUCCGUGCCAGCAGCCGCGGUAAUACGGAGGGUCCAAGCGUUAAUCGGAAUUACUGGGCGUAAAGCGCGCGUAGAUGGUUUAUUCAGUUGGGUGUGAAAUCCCUGGGCUCAACCUAGGAACUGCAUUCAAAACUUAUAAACUAGAGUACGAAAGAGGAGAGUAGAAUUCAUGGUGUAGCGGUGAAAUGCGUAGAGAUCAUGAGGAAUACCAGUGGCGAAGGCGACUCUCUGGUUCGAGACUGACAUUGAGGUGCGAAAGCGUGGGUAGCAAACAGGAUUAGAUACCCUGGUAGUCCACGCCGUAAACGAUGAGAACUAGCCGUUGGAUCUUUAGAUUCAGUGGCGCAGCUAACGCAUUAAGUUCUCCGCCUGGGGAGUACGGCCGCAAGGCUAAAACUCAAAUGAAUUGACGGGGGCCCGCACAAGCGGUGGAGCAUGUGGUUUAAUUCGAUGCAACGCGAAAAACCUUACCAACCCUUGACAUCCAGUGGAAGUUUUAGAGAUAAAACUGUGCCUUUGGGAACACUGUGACAGUGUUGCAUGGCUGUCGUCAGCUCGUGUCGUGAGAUGUAUGGUUAAGUCCAGUAACGAGCGCAACCCUUAUCCUU
rnacentral:rRNA from 1 species